AGUUGGGAAGAUAAGGCGUGCUCGCGUGAAAAGGUAACUAGCAAGUCAGAGGCAGCAAGGCAUGUUGGAUUUAGGUAGGUUCUAAGCAAGUGGGGCUGAGUAACCUUGCUUUAAGUCUAAAAGGGCACCAGACUAUCCCAGGAAGGGGGAGGAGGCAGUAGGAGCUCAGGUCAUUUCCCCAGCUGAGGCCCAUCCUCCAACAGUAAAGGCCAGGGCCCCUGCUUACUGUGCAUCUGCCAUAGGGUGAGUACCUCACUGAACAGUGUCUUUCUUGAUCAGAACAAAAGCACUAUGGCAGAGUUGUUGUGGAAUGGCUGGACUUUUGAGGGUGGUGCCUUAAGGAUUCGGGUCCACAGUCAGAACUACAGUGGGCUGCUCUUACAGGCCCUGGAUGACAACUCAGGAUUGCCCUAGAGACCUGACCCACCCACCCCAAAGACUAGGCCCUUAAGAGAGUGGGCUUCUGGGGGCUGUGCUGUUUUCUGGCCUCUAGAAACAAAGGGCAUUUGGCCUAGAAGGGAAAAUCUACCUGCUGAGUGAAACAGACACUGCCAGCCAUGUGUACGUGGCACACAGGGAUAGGCAGGGUAUACCAGAGAAAUUUGAACACAUGGGAAGGACUUUUGUUCUCUUAAGGCAGUAAUGCUCAGUGCUUUUAUUGCCUUCCCUACCUGUUUUCUCCUGCCUUUGGAAGUACAGUUCUUUGCUGAAUGCCAGUCUCGCUAGAUAACCUAAAAUCUGCAUCAGCGUACUUGGGAGAGAAAAAGUUCUGGGACUGUCCCAUGUGUCUCGUCUCACAGUAGAAUAAUUUGAGUAUCACAAAAGUGUCAGGGAAAUCUUGGUAAGUUCUCAACCCCUACCCUCUACCCUCAUCUAGAAGCCUCCUGUUGAGGGCAGCUGGUUUCAGUCCCAUCCGCUUACGUUCCUUCAGAAGAGGACAAGUGGCAACUGCUGAGACAGUGCUCUGUUAAUAACCUUAGUCGUGACCAUUUUCUAAGAGGGAACCUAAGAUGGCUGCUGUCACCUAUUUGGUUUUGCACUGGGCCUGAUGCUCCUCCCGACAUCACAUUUGGAUGAAGAAAUGAAGGCUCAGAGAGAUUAAAAGUCUUGAUUAAUUAAGUCGGUAAGGAAGAAGCAGAGGCACAAUUCAAGUUCAAGGGCCCCAACUCCAGAACUAUUGCCCUGUACGAAGUAUGACACCAUUUAUAUUCAGAAGGCCCACUCUACCUCAGUUUGCAACCAAAUACUCAAGAAACUAAAGUAAAAGAUUAAUCAUUGAUGGCAUUUCUACUACCAGAUGUUAAAAUAACACAAUCCAGGUAUUUUGUUUACUAUGACAAAAAUCUUCUUGAAAAAAAUUAAAAUUGGAUGGUUCUAGGAGCCACCUUAUAGAAAUCCUAAUUCAUUUGGUCUGGCCAGGGGCCUACGAAUCUGUAUUUUGUGCUAUACGUCAGGUGAUUCUGAUGGUCGUUCUUGGGCCAUACUUUGAGAAAUACUGCUCUGGAUGAGUAGGUAUCUAUCAUCAUGGCCAUUAGAUUAGAUUCACAAAUAGCA